GCGAAACCGUGUGAUCUACCCAUGGGCAGGUUGAAGCUGUGGUAACACACAGUGGAGGACCGAACCGGUUGACGUUGAAAAGUCUUCGGAUGACCUGUGGGUAGGGGUGAAAGGCCAAUCAAGCUCGGAAAUAGCUCGUACUCCCCGAAAUGCAUUUAGGUGCAGCGUUAAUCAAGUUUUAUAGAGGUAGAGCUACUGAUUGGAUGCGGGGGCUUCACCGCCUACCAAUUCCUGACAAACUCCGAAUGCUAUAAAAUGGUGAUUAGCAGUGAGGGCAUGGGUGCUAAGGUCCUUGUCCGAGAGGGAAAGAACCCGGACCAUCAGCUAAGGUCCCCAAAUAUAUACUAAGUUGAAUAAACGAGGUUUGACUGCACAGACAGCUAGGAUGUUGGCUUGGAAGCAGCCAUUCAUUUAAAGAGUGCGUAACAGCUCACUAGUCGAGCGGUCGAGCAUGGAUAAUAAUCGGGCAUAAGUAUAUUACCGAAGCUAUGGACUUACGUAAGUAAGUGGUAGGGGAGCAUUCUAUAUGCGCAGAAUGUGGUCUGCGAGGACUGCUGGAGCGUAUAGAAAAGAAAAUGUAGGCAUAAGUAACGAUAAUGCGGGCGAGAAACCCGCACACCGAAAGACUAAGGUUUCCUCAGCUAUGCUAAUCAGCUGAGGGUUAGUCGGGACCUAACGCGAACCCGAAAGGGGUAGUGGAUGGACAAGCAGUUAAUAUUCUGCUACCUGCUCACGUUAAAAGUGACGGAGGCGAGAAGUUAGUGCGCACUGACGGAAUAGUGCGUUGAAGGGAACAGUAAUGUCCUGAUAGUACAGUAAGGCUACGGCCGCGCUGAUAAUCUAGCAAAUCGACUUCCAAGAAAACCGAGUGAAGCAGCCCGUACCGUAAACCGACACAGGUAGUCAAGGAGAGAAUCCUGAGGUGCUCGAGUGAUUCAUGGUUAAGGAACUAGGCAAAAUAGCCCUGUAACUUCGGGAGAAGGGGCUCCAACUUCGGUUGGACGCAGUGAAAAGACCCAGGCGACUGUUUAUCAAAAACACAUGGCUGUGCGAACGUGAAAGCGGAUGUAUACGGCCUGACACCUGCCCGGUGCUGGAAGGUUAAGGGGGGGAGUUAUCUUCGGAGAAGCUCUGAACUGAAGCCCCAGUAAACGGCGGCCGUAACUAUAACGGUCCUAAGGUAGCGAAAUUCCUUGUCGGGUAAGUUCCGACCUGCACGAAUGGCGUAACGACUUCCCCACUGUCUCCAACAGAGACUCAGCGAAAUUGAAUUCUCCGUGAAGAUGCGGAGUUCCCGCGGUCAGACGGAAAGACCCCGUGAACCUUUACUGUAGGCUGCUAUUGGGUUGAGAUAUGUCUUGUGUAGGAUAGCUGGGAGACUUUGAAGCUGUGUCGUCAGGCAUGGUGGAGUCGUUGGUGAAAUACCAGCCUUUAUUUAUCUGAUGCCUAACCCCGAAAGGGAGACAGUGUGUGGUGGGUAGUUUGACUGGGGCGGUCUCCUCCCAAAGAGUAACGGAGGAGCACGAAGGUACCCUAAGCAUGGUCGGAAAUCAUGCGGUUAGUGUAAUGGCACAAGGGUGCUUGACUGCGAGACGGACAGGUCGAGCAGGUACGAAAGUAGGUCAUAGUGAUCCGGUGGUUCUGUAUGGAAGGGCCAUCGCUCAACGGAUAAAAGGUACUCCGGGGAUAACAGGCUGAUACCGCCCAAGAGUUCACAUCGACGGCGGUGUUUGGCACCUCGAUGUCGGCUCAUCACAUCCUGGGGCUGAAGCCGGUCCCAAGGGUAUGGCUGUUCGCCAUUUAAAGUGGUACGCGAGCUGGGUUUAGAACGUCGUGAGACAGUUCGGUCCCUAUCUGCCGUGGGUGUAGGAAUAUUGAUAGGAUCUGUCCCUAGUACGAGAGGACCGGGAUGGACGUAUCUCUGGUGGACCUGUUGUCGUGCCAACGGCAUAGCAGGGUAGCUAUAUACGGAAUGGAUAACCGCUGAAGGCAUCUAAGCGGGAAACCAACCUAAAAACGAGUAUUCCCUGAGAGUCGUGGAAGACUACCACGUUGAUAGGCUGGGUGUGGAAGCGCAGUAAUGUGUGAAGCUUACCAGUACUAAUAGCUCGAUCGG
rnacentral:rRNA from 1 species